UUCUAGGUGGAGUCGUUUGUGAUUAUGUGGUAUGCCGUAGAACCGCAUCAAUGACUUUUUCGCUUUGUCAAUACGCCCCGCGCGAUAAUCAUAACGGGGGGAGUCUGGGAAAAACAACACCCCAAUGCCCAGGAUCAAUAUCCUGAUGAAAGUUACCCCGAGCGGAAUCCGCCAGGCACCGCUAUCCGAACGGUUUCCAGUACCCAAAUUGAUGCAGUUAGCAGAUAAAAUGCCCAGGGUAUUGAAAAGCUGAUAGCAGCUAUGAGAAUCGAUUAGUUUACCCAUUCACACUCGGAAGGCAUCGUGCUAGCGAUGGAGCAAACCUUAUAAUAGCACCACGAAUAUGCCGUGGGGCGCUCUCGCUCUGAUAUAGUGGAACCAGCACCGAAAGCGCACCGACACCAAGACCCGCAACCCAACGGCCAAGAACCACCUGAUACCAUUUAGGAUAUUCGGAAGUCAUUUGAAUAAUAACACCGACAAUAAUUAUCACACAGCAACCGGACAUUGUCCACUUCCGGCCAAACCUGUCGGCAAAAGACUACCAAAUGCCAACUAUGACAGAAGACAAUGUUCUUAAGGAAACAUAUGCAGGGCAAACAUACCAAGGCCACAAUUAGGCCAGCGCGAACACGUGAGAAAUGAUAGGUUUCGCCAGAGGCCUCGAGCUCACCGAACCGCCUUCUGAAAUCAUCCGUCUCCAGUACGCCUGCGAUCUGGCCAGUGUCAUAUCCAAAAAUGAACCCUCCCAUCGACACGGACAAGCCCAUAGCGAACGAGCGCCAUGUCAACGUAGGGAUCGGGGUAUCGACGAAGCCUUCGUCAAAUUCCACUAGGUCAUCUGAAGAAAGGUGAUUAUCUAAAGACUUCGACGGGACGCCUUUUCCUUUAAAAAAAAGCUUCUCAAAUUUCGAUUCCAUGAAGAGAAUUCAGUAGCAUACAGCGCUACAUUGCUAGUCAAUUUUUCCUGAGGAGCAGGAAGAAGAGAGAAAUACUUUUGGGCGGGGCGAUGCCGUACUGAACCAAAACACUAGGCAGGACCAUGGUUCUGCCAUGAAUUGAAUGAAUUGAACAGUCAAUCUCAACUUCGAAACAAGACGACAGUUAGUGAAUCUAUAUUUUUCAUAUCUGCUUGUCCCUUCUCUCGGAGGCCCCUGAGGAUACGACACAAACAGCUGCUAUAUCUUUAAUAUAGUAGUAGUGACCUGCUGUUCAGCUAUCGAGCUCAGUUUUUCGCAAUAUCAACAACCAGAAACGGACC
rnacentral:sRNA from 1 species